rnacentral:rRNA from 1 species
AGUGAACGCUGGCGGUAGGCCUAACACAUGCAAGUCGAACGGCAGCACAGGAGAGCUUGCUCUCUGGGUGGCGAGUGGCGGACGGGUGAGGAAUACAUCGGAAUCUACUUUUUCGUGGGGGAUAACGUUGGGAAACUUACGCUAAUACCGCAUACGACCUACGGGUGAAAGCAGGGGACCUUCGGGCCUUGCGCGAUUGAAUGAGCCGAUGUCGGAUUAGCUAGUUGGCGGGGUAAAGGCCCACCAAGGCGACGAUCCGUAGCCGGUCUGAGAGGAUGAUCAGCCACACUGGAACUGAGACACGGGCCAGACUCCUACGGGAGGCAGCAGUGGGGAAUAUUGGACAAUGGGCGCAAGCCUGAUCCAGCCAUACCGCGUGGGUGAGGAAGGCCUUCGGGUUGUAAAGCCCUUUUGUUGGGAAAGAAAUCCAGCUGGUUAAUACCCGGUUGGGAUGACGGUACCCAAAGAAUAAGCACCGGCUAACUUCGUGCCAGCCGCCGCGGUAA